rnacentral:rRNA from 1 species
AUUGAACGCUGGCGGCAGGCCUAACACAUGCAAGUCGAGCGGAUGAAGGGAGCUUGCUCCUGGAUUCAGCGGCGGACGGGUGAGUAAUGCCUAGGAAUCUGCCUGUUAGUGGGGGAUAACGUCCGGAAACGGGCGCUAAUACCGCAUACGUCCUGAGGGAGAAAGUGGGGGAUCUUCGGACCUCACGCUAUCAGAUGAGCCUAGGUCGGAUUAGCUAGUUGGUGGGGUAAAGGCCUACCAAGGCGACGAUCCGUAACUGGUCUGAGAGGAUGAUCAGUCACACUGGAACUGAGACACGGUCCAGACUCCUACGGGAGGCAGCAGUGGGGAAUAUUGGACAAUGGGCGCAAGCCUGAUCCAGCCAUGCCGCGUGUGUGAAGAAGGUCUUCGGAUUGUAAAGCACUUUAAGUUGGGAGGAAGGGCAGUAAGUUAAUACCUCGCUGUUUUGACGUUACCAACAGAAUAAGCACCGGCUAACUUCGUG